CGAGAGGGACCGAUGUCACCUUGGGUGCCACCUGUGUUGUCAGACUUGCCUUUCUGUGGGAAGAGGCAAGUCCUCCAGAGGAGGAGUGUUUUCUAGGAGAAGGGGAAAGGAUGCCUGGUUGUUAAAAUCAACUGCUGUUCCCUACAGAGAUUGUUUGAGGAAGAAACAGAGUGGAGAGAGUUACUGAAGGGAAUGCCAGGGUAGGCUGUGGGAUUGAAAACCUAAAUUGGAUGCUGUAACCAUUCACUGAAGAUUGGAAAAUAUCCUUCUCACAAUCAGGGCACA